AUGGUGACACGUGGCAUAUUUAGGGUUUCAAACCCUAGGGCCGUUUUUGUAAUAUCUUGGUUUUCUAAUGGCGUUUUGUUAAAUUUCAGUCGGUCAGUUUUAUUAGCAUUUGGCAGUUUUUUAAAAUAAAAUCUCCACAGGAUAUUAAAUUCAUUUCCUAUCCGAAAACUUCCAUUUAUCAGAAAAAACACACCGUUUCAUCUCCCCUAGAUUUCUCACGUUUUCCAUCUCCUCUAAAUUUCUCUCUCAAUACUCACUCCUUCAACUUUCAACUGCUUUUCAUGUCUCAUCCGUAUAUCAACCCGAAUUUUCACACAAAUCUUUGAACAAUUAUUAGUUCCCAGAGAAUUAAAUCUCUAAAAUCCACCUGCCAAGAAUUCAACAAAAUUUGUCGGGAAGCGGGAGUGAAAAGGACCCCUUUGCGCAACCGCUCAGUGUUUGCCAGCGAAAGCCACUGCCGGUGAUCGAAAUUUCAACAGAUGGUGAUAUGGUGAUGGUGAUAAAACUGUCAGGGACAUCAAAGUCCUUUUUCGGAGAAAAGAUGACUUAGUCUAAUGGAAAUCCCUUUGAUGCGACAUGUCUUAUGUACUUGACUCAGUUGGAGGUAGAAUAUUAGUAGUAACGACUUUCAUUUACAGUCUUCAAUUUUAUAUAUUGAUGAUUUAACAAAAAACGGGCUAUAGCAACGUGCUGAAAGGUUGUGGAGAAGCAGAUGAGACAUAUAUGUGAUGUGGCAGAGUCAAGAAAGGCAUAAAUGUUGGCUUACACAGACGUGCAUACUUUACAAACACGGGGGGCUUCCCUAGAUGUCACUCUUGAUUUUAUUGGGGAUGCAUUUGCCAAGAGGAGAAGGAGCAGGCGUUCAAAUUUUGACUUCGACAAGCGCCUCUAGAGUCAAAGCAUCAUUGCUCGGGUUAAACUCUUACAAAUGCAAGCUACAAUAUACAAUUAGUAAUUUCAUAGUAUAAUUUUUCUUACGAUUACUAAAAACUUUUUACUACGAUCACGACAAUGGUAUAGUUUAUAAUUAUUGUAUUUUAUGAUUACGACUACGGGUAUACAACUGUAAACAUUGGUUUAUGGAUGUUUGUAUUUAGGUAAUUUUAUGUUACUACGAAAUGAAUUUAAAUGGAAUGUAUUUUUGUAUACGUAUUUUUAAUCGGUUUUGUUAAAAAACUAAAUAAUGGUGUUCGUCAAUUGCUCGAGUUGUAGAACAAAUGUAUGGCACGUUUAUUACUUUUUGAUUUAUUCAACAUACUUCAUUUCAUUAACAAUAAAUCCAUAUUAUGAUGAUUUAAGUUCAUAUAACCCUUUCUCAAUUUAAUUUUGCUAAUAUUUUUGUUACUAUAUAUUAUUUUAUUACUAUUU